UCUUACGGCCACACCUCCCUGAGCACACCCGAUCUCGUCUGAUCUCAGAAGCUAAGCAGGGUCGGGCCCGGUUAGUACUUGGAUGGGAGACCGCCUGGGAAUCCCAGGUGCUGUAAGCC
ensembl:rRNA 5S_rRNA 5S ribosomal RNA